ensembl:ncRNA F46H5.9 ncRNA
AAAAAAAUGUUGUGAAAAGAAAGAAAGUGGUAGCCGACGAGGAUGAGGUUCAAAAGACUCUCAUACCGCCAUCUGCUAUUUCAUUGCCGUCGAAUGCCAUCUGUUCCUGCUCUCAUCGGCAUCCAUCUUUCCCGAAGUUGCCGA